CUCCUACGGGAGGCAGCAGUGGGGAAUCUUGCACAAUGGACGAAAGUCUGAUGCAGCAACGCCGCGUGGGGGAUGAAGCUUUUCGGAGUGUAAAACCCCUUUACGUACCCCGGUAAGAACGUGCCCGCAAGGGUUUGACGGUACGGGUAUAAGAAGCCCGGCUAACUACGUGCCAGCCGCCGCGGUAAUAC
rnacentral:rRNA from 1 species